UACGGUAGGGUGCGAGCGUUUAAUCGGAAUUACUGGGCGUAAAGCGUGCGCAGGCGGUUCGUUGUGUCGGUGGUGAAAGCCCCGGGCUUAACCUGGGAUGGCCUGGAAACUGGCGAACUGGGAGUGUGGCAGAGGGGGGGUGGAAUUCCGCGUGUAGCAGUGAAAUGCGUAGAGAUGCGGAGGAACACCGAUGGCGAAGGCGCCCCCCUGGGCUAGCACUGACGCUCAGGCACGAAAGCGUGGGGAGCAAACAGG
rnacentral:rRNA from 1 species